AACCUCCGCAAUGUGAGAAAUCGCGACGGGGGGAUCCCAAGUGCCAUUCUUAACGGGAUGGCUUUUCUUAAGUGUAAAAAGCUUUUGGAAUAAGAGCUGGGCAAGACCGGUGCCAGCCGCCGCGGUAACACCGGCAGCUCUAGUGGUAGCUGUUUUUAUUGGGCCUAAAGCGUUCGUAGCCGGUUUGAUAAGUCACUGGUGAAAUCCUGUAGCUUAACUGUGGGAAUUGCUGGUGAUACUGUUGAACUUGAGGUCGGGAGAGGUUAGCGGUACUCCCAGGGUAGAGGUGAAAUUCUGUAAUCCUGGGAGGACCACCUGUGGCGAAGGCGGCUAACUGGAACGAACCUGACGGCGAGGGACGAAAGCUAGGGGCGCGAACCGGAUUAGAUACCCGGGUAGUCCUAGCCGUAAACGAUGCGGACUUGGUGUUGGGAUGGCUUUGAGCCGCUCCGGUGCCGAAGGGAAGCUGUUAAGUCCGCCGCCUGGGAAGUACGGUCGCAAGACUGAAACUUAAAGGAAUU
rnacentral:rRNA from 1 species